UACGUAGGUGGCAAGCGUUGUCCGGAAUUAUUGGGCGUAAAGCGCGCGCAGGCGGUCCUUUAAGUCUGAUGUGAAAGCCCACGGCUCAACCGUGGAGGGUCAUUGGAAACUGGGGGACUUGAGUACAGAAGAGAAGAGUGGAAUUCCACGUGUAGCGGUGAAAUGCGUAGAGAUGUGGAGGAACACCAGUGGCGAAGGCGACUCUUGGUCUGUAACUGACGCUGAGGCGCGAAAGCGUGGGGAGCAAACAGGAUUAGAAACC
rnacentral:rRNA from 1 species